UACGUAGGGGGCAAGCGUUGUCCGGAAUCAUUGGGCGUAAAGCGCGUGUAGGCGGCUCGAUAAGUCUGCUGUGAAAGUCCAGGGCUCAACCCUGGGAUGCCGGUGGAUACUGUCGAGCUCGAGUCCGGAAGAGGCGAGUGGAAUUCCUGGUGUAGCGGUGAAAUGCGCAGAUAUCAGGAGGAACACCAAUGGCGAAGGCAGCUCGCUGGGACGUGACUGACGCUGAGACGCGAAGCGUGGGGAGCAAACAGG
rnacentral:rRNA from 1 species